GCCCGGCGGCUGCGGCGUGGAUCCGGUGGUGCUCAAACCUGGAUACUGCGCUCAUUGUUGGGGUGUCAGAUCGGGAUAGCGUGGUUUGAAAGCGAGCUCGGGACGUGUCUGUUAACCCCCCUGCUCGAAAGAGGGUCAGCCACGAGGUCAGAAAGGGUGUCUCUUCACAGUCGGUUUGUUCGGUUGGCAGGGGCACAGAAUCAUAGAAUGUAAAGGAGUUGGAACUAUGGCCCUUAAAGAUCAUCUAUUCCCAACCCCCCUGCCAUGGACACGGACACCUCCCACUAGACCAGGUUGCCCAAGGUCCCCUUCACAUAUUGGAAGGCUGCUAUGAGGUUUCCACCCUUCUGGACAAGCCCUCUGCUUGCCUUUGUAGGGGCGGUGCUCCUAUUUGAUACAGUGUUGUAUUUGAUACAGUUGCUGUCAUCCCCUUUCCUCCAGCCCUGCCCUUGAGACAUGUGCACUGUUUCCCCCCCAGUUUGGUGCCCCAGGGACGUUUGACAGCAAUGCACCUCCUCCUCCAGGUUACUCACAAAGAUGUUAAGCUGGACAUA